AUACCCAACAGCUAGCCCCCCAAUCAAAAACAACAAACCACUAUUAAUACCCUCAAAUACACAAAUACCUACACUAAACAAACCAUUUUUCCCCCUAAGUACGGACGACAGAAAAGGAAUUCAGGAGCAAUAGAGAAAGUACCGCAAGGGAACGCUGAAAGAGAAAUGAAAUAAAUCAGUAAAGUUUAAAAAAGCAGAGACUUAAACUCGUACCUUUUGCAUCAUGAUUUAGCCAGUAAACUUCAAGCAAAGAGCACUUUAGUUUGCCUCCCCGAAACUAAGUGAGCUACUCCAAGACAGCCUAUAAUUAGGGCUAACCCGUCUCUGUGGCAAAAGAGUGGGAAGAGCUUCGAGUAGAGGUGACAGACCAACCGAACUUAGUUAUAGCUGGUUGCCUGGGAACUGGAUAGAAGUUCAGCCUCUCGGUUUCUCCCUUCAUUCCUGCUUCAGCUUUUUCUGAUCUAAAAGAAACCAAGAGAGUUAGUUAAAGGGGGUACAGCCCCUUUAAACCAAGAUACAACUUUCCUAGUUGGGUAAAGAUCAUAAUCACCCAAGGUAAAAUGGUCUAGUGGGCCUAAAAGCAGCCACCCAGUAGAAAGCGUUAAAGCUCAGACAUUCCCCACAACCUUCAAUCCCGAUAACCUAUCUCAUCCCCCUAAUUUUACCAGGCCACCUCAUGCUUACAUGAGGGCAAUCCUGCUAAUAUGAGUAAUAAGAGAGCAUGCCUCUCUCCCUGCACACGUGUAAAUCGGAACGGAUACCCCACCGAACAUUACCGGUCCCAAACAAAGAGGGCACUGAACAAUAAACUAAACAACUAGAAAACCACCCAACUAUAUACCGUUAACCCCACACUGGCGUGCUUAUAAGGAAAGACUAAAAGGAAAAGAAGGAACUCGGCAAACACAAGCCUCGCCUGUUUACCAAAAACAUCGCCUCUUGCAAAACCAAAGAAUAAGAGGUCCCGCCUGCCCUGUGACAAAUAGUUUAACGGCCGCGGUAUUUUGACCGUGCAAAGGUAGCGCAAUCACUUGUCUUUUAAAUGAAGACCUGUAUGAAUGGCAUAACGAGGGCUUAACUGUCUCCUUUUUCAAGUCAAUGAAAUUGAUCUCCCCGUGCAGAAGCGGGAAUUAAACCAUAAGACGAGAAGACCCUAUGGAGCUUUAGACACCAAAGCAGAUCUUGUUAAACACCCCAAAAUAAAUGAACCAAACCAAAAGAACCCUGCCCUAAUGUCUUUGGUUGGGGCGACCGCGGGGAAACAAACAACCCCCACGUGGACUAAGAACACCCUUCUUACAACCAAGAGCUACAACUCUAACUAACAGAACUUCUGACCAUAAGAUCCGGCAAUGCCGAUCAACGGACCGAGUUACCCUAGGGAUAACAGCGCAAUCCCCUUUUAGAGCCCAUAUCGACAAGGGGGUUUACGACCUCGAUGUUGGAUCAGGACAUCCUAAUGGUGCAGCCGCUAUUAAGGGUUCGUUUGUUCAACGAUUAAAGUCCUACGUGAUCUGAGUUCAGACCGGAGUAAUCCAGGUCAGUUUCUAUCUAUGUUAUGCUCUUUUCUAGUACGAAAGGACCGAAAAGAAGAGGCCCAUGCUUCAAGUAUGCCUCACCCCCACCUAAUGAAAACAACUAAAUUAGGCAAAAGGGCAUGCCCCCUAUGCCUAAGAAAAUGGCAU
rnacentral:rRNA from 1 species